rnacentral:rRNA from 1 species
CCUACGGGAGGCAGCAGUGGGGAAUAUUGGACAAUGGGGGGAACCCUGAUCCAGCGACGCCGCGUGAGUGAAGAAGUCUUUCGGUAUGUAAAGCUCUAUCAGCAGGGAAGAAAGAAAUGACGUUACCUGACUAAGAAGCCCCGCCUACCUACGUGCCAGCAGCCGCGGUAAUACGUAGGGGGCAAGCGUUAUCCGGAUUUACUGGGUGUAAAGGGAGCGUAGACGGCGAUGCAAGUCUGAAGUGAAAGGCUGGGGCUCAACCCCUGGACUGCUUUGGAAACUGUAUGGCUGGAGUGCAGGAGAGGUAAAUGGAAUUCCUAGUGUAGCGGUGAAAUGCGUAGAUAUUAGGAGGAACACCAGUGGCGAAGGCGGCUUGCUGGACUGUAACUGACGUUGAGGCUCGAAAGCGUGGGGAGCAAACAGGAUUAGAUACCCUUGUAGUC